rnacentral:rRNA from 1 species
AGACCCCUACGGGGCGCAGCAGUGGGGGAUAUUGGACAAUGGGGGGAACCCUGAUCCAGCGACGCCGCGUGAGUGAAGAAGUAUUUCGUUAUGUAAAGCUCUAUCAGCAGGGAAGAAAAUGACGGUACCUGAGUAAGAAGCCCCGGCUAACUACGUGCCAGCAGCCGCGGUAAUACGUAGGGGGCAAGCGUUAUCCGGAUUUACUGGGUGUAAAGGGAGCGUAGACGGCAGUGCAAGUCUGGAGUGAAAGGCGGGGGCUCAACCCCCGGACUGCUCUGGAAACUGUACGGC